rnacentral:rRNA from 1 species
UACGUAGGGUGCAAGCGUUGUCCGGAAUUAUUGGGCGUAAAGAGCUCGUAGGCGGUUUGUCGCGUCUGCUGUGAAAACGCGAGGCUCAACCUCGCGCCUGCAGUGGGUACGGGCAGACUAGAGUGCGGUAGGGGAGAUUGGAAUUCCUGGUGUAGCGGUGAAAUGCGCAGAUAUCAGGAGGAACACCGGUGGCGAAGGCGGGUCUCUGGGCCGAAACUGACGCUGAGGAGCGAAAGCGUGGGGAGCAAACAGG